ensembl:lncRNA
GUGUUAUCAGGAAACAUAUAUAUUUAUUACUUUCCAAUUUUCCCAGCCCUUGGUAACCAUUGAAUUUUCAUUAUUUUCAUUGAUUUGAUCACCUCCUUUUAGUUCAGAACAUGAAUAAGCUGAAAAGUAAAGAGCUAAAAUAAAAUUCCUUUUCAUAAAGCAUUUGUCUCAAUACAGAAUUCACCUGAAUAAUUAUGUCCCUAUAGUUCUAAUAGUAUAACUCCCGAAGUGGACACUAGAAUUCUACAGGCAUUCAUGCAAGAUUAAAAAGCAUCCACAAGGCAUAAUUAUAUCACUCUAGUCUCUGGUAAAUUUCCUCUAAUAAAGACAACCUUUCAAUGUUGAAAAAAAGAUAUGUUAUUUGGGAGGAAAGACAGAAAGGAAAAGCCCUUUGAUUUCCUAAUAUAGACAUUUUAUGAGGUUUUCUGCUCUUUAGCUACAACCUGCUAUAAGCAUGAACACCAAAAAAAAUUAUUACAGCUGUGAAAACAAAUCUCUGGAUGAUGCAUUUUGACUGACCACCAGUCAAAGCACACUGACCCAAAAUUAUAUCACAAUUACUCAAGGUCAUUUGUCAAGUUUUGGGAAUUUUUAAAGGUCUAUGUCAUCUUCCCUCUUAAUAUCGUGGGUACAAUUGAUUUGUGGCAUAGAUGUUCCUCAGCUUCUGCAAGAUAUACUUAAGUAGCAAACUGCUUUGUGCCAUUAUGAAGGCAACAAUUCUGCUCUUUCCUUAGUUCCUUCACCUUGUAGCUAUGUGGUUAGAAAGCACUUCCAGCACUCGGUUAGAUAAAACCUACCAAAAAGUAAACAUAUGAAAAAUAGAGGAGUUGAUGGUUAAGGCAUCCAAGCAAUCAUAAUUCUUUUAUAUAUGGGCAUAAAGGGUUAAAAAAAAUAGAAUCGACUGAAAUAAACUAAAUUUAACUCAACAUUUCCCUCAGGUUCUCAUUACAGAAGCAAAUUAAGUUUGUCUGGAUGGCAUUCAACUGUGUGUUUUCUUUUUAAAUAUAUUUCAUUUUACUGAAAUGCAGUAUUUUCCCUACAUUUUCUAGGUUUCAAUUAUUUUUUAUAGCUAAUGGACUUCUAAAAUAUUUUAACAUUAAUAUUCUAAUAUGUUUAGUCUUUGUAUUGUUUUUUGGCAAAGAAUUUUUCUUUGAUUUCUUUUCUUUACAAUUAUUAAGAAUGCUAUACAUGAGCAUUAAGAAAUAAUCAUGUGAAUAAUAUGACCUUUAGUAACCAAAAUAUAUGGGGCAAAAUUAGCAUAUUGCUUUUCAAUGUCUUUGUAUCAUAAUUGCAUGAAUGUUCAAAAGUCAUGAAGCUUAAUUGAUUUACAAUUCAUCAUCAGAUCAGACAUGUAAAUUAUUAUGGGAGAACUCAAGAUUUCUUGUUUCUGAGACCCAGCUAGAGCUAGGCAUAUUUAGAAGGAGCAGGGAGACCCACAGGAAAAUAAGUGAAAGCUUCAGUAGUCACUCUACACUGUUCAGAAAUAUAACUUAGUAGGUUAAAAAACAAACAAAAAGCCAGGGGUGGGGAAGGCAGCUGGGACAUGACUAAAACCAGCCAAGUGUUGAGAGAGCCUUCGUUUGCUGUAUGGCAGAGCUGAGUUCAAUUCUGCACUGCAUCCAGGCCUGCCCCUUUUCCCCCCCAGAGGGACAGCCUCAUCACUAGACAAGUCUCAUCAUUCCAGCCAUGGAUAAUGGAGCAUUUCCUAAAAGAAGCUGCAUGCCCUCAGCAAAUGGGAAAGAAAUCCUACCCCUCAAGCAGGCUGGCUGCUCCUGACCAGCUAAACUCUGAUAUCCCUUGUGGCCAGCCCAGCACUGUUGACCCCAACUUGACUACUGGAUAUAUCAUCAUAAUUACUCACAAUUAUAUGGUUAAUGUAUUUUUAAAUUUUAAUCUGUGCUUCUUCAGCUCUAGACUGACUAAUUUUAGUUCUAUGCUAAAUCUGAAGAGUCUGCACUGGUAAUUUCUGAGAUAAUUCCAUAUUAAUCAAAGCAGAAAAUUUCUUGCAGAAUCUGUUGAAAAUAAUCUUACUGAAGCAGUGGGUGGUGGUGUAAAACUAGUGAGCAUCCAUCUUACACUCAAAGAGAAAAUAAGGUCAAGUACAAGAGAAUGUAUUUUCACAUAUAAAUCAGAGAGGCUGCCUUUGGUUUUUGUACAACACAGAUGCUAUGGUUCAGAAGGGGAACCUGUUCUUCUGUUACUUUGAGUUUAAUAAGUAAGCUUUAAUAAAUUUUCUUGUAGCAGUUGAAAGCACUUUUUUAAUAGCCUGCUGAGGUACAAACAUAUACUCCUUCUGUUUAAGUUGCUACAUGAUCUGUACACUUCCUGCAGCGGGGCAGACCUAGUAGCUACAGACACUUGCUUCCUCCUGCUGCACCUGAGAUCAGGGACCUGCAGGACUCAUGACUUCUACUUCAAAGCCUCCUUGCCCAAAAAUUUACAGAGUUUCCUUGGGUCUCCUACCUCAUCUCCUACACGCAGUCACACUAGAGUAUUCCACCCUUCAGAACAGAUUAUUCUAUCACUUGGAAGCACCACACAGUUAUUCCUAGCACAAUCCAGGUCCAUGAGCUUCUGGAGACCUAGCCAAUGAUCAUAGAAAUAAUACCUUAAAAUUUUAAUUUGCCUCCUACACCACAAUAUUCAGGUACAUAAAUAUAGGCUGAACAUUUGUGCAAUUAGUAGAGAUGUCUCCUGCAUUAUGUAAAGCAAAACCCAAACUUACUCACAGAGCUGCGAACAACACCUUCAUGUUUGCUAAACAGUGGCAGCUGCAUCUGCAUGGUGCAGAGAAAAGGAGAUGAGAAAAUACUGUGUUCUGGCUAUAGUAGCACACACUGCUGAACAUACCCUUCUUCUGCUCAUGGCACAUAGAAAAAAACAGCAGUAAAAUCUUAGCACUCGCAGAAUUUUGGUUUAUGUUCUAGUAAUGUGACUAAAUUAACCAGCCAUAUUAUAAGGGCUGUCAAAAAUGUUAUCUGAUAUGCAAGUGCACCAGCAACAACACAAGCUUUAAAAGCUUAAAAGCCAUUUUGAGAAUUAAACAAAGAUUGACAGUAUCUCUAUUUUGUAGUGCCAACUUUUUGAACACUUUGCAUUUGUCAAGAAACGUAUGAUGGUGUUGGCAGCAGCUCCCACUUAGCACUGGUCCCCUUUGUGAAAGCCUUUGCCUAAACAAAGAGCUAGAUAUGGUUUCAUCGUCAACAAAUUUGAAGUGUCUCUGCUCUACUGGUGAAUUAUUGCUAUCCUGUAGAAAGAUAGAGAAAGACUGCAGAAUUCUGAAGCACACAAAAAAAGCUCUUUGCAGGGUUUUUUGGCUGUUCACAUGAGCUAUUCUAUCACUUUUCAGCAACUCCAGCUUACAUUAUAUCUACAGACUUACAGUAAGCUGAGAUAGUCACAGUAUUUAAACCUUCAAACAAUCUAUGCUGCAAAUCUGCCAGCCUCCUGUUUGUCAGAACGUUUCAUCUCAGCUAAAAAUUAUCAGUUCAGAGGGAUAAGAGCACAGAGGUAUACAGAUGACUGUAAUGCAUUCCACCAGACAGCCUUUAUGAAUUUUUUAGCUGAACUUUCCUCUCUCCUUGUUUUUCUUGCCAACCACAUGCAGAACACUUUAGAGACAACAGCAAUUCCUUGGAGGUUUACAUGUAUUAUUCAAUUCCCACCAAUAAAAAAUAAAAAAUAAAAUCAUUUUUCUAAACCAAGUUUCAUCUCAUAUUUUUCUUAAUCUUAAACUAUAACUAGCAUCCAGUACUUGCACUGCAGAGCUGAGAAGCUAGCAGAAAUUGUCACAUUCAAUUAGCACAGCAAAAGUAGCAAACUAGAAAUAGGAUUUCAUUCACUUUAAUUCACUAGUUGGUUGCCACAAAUACUCAUCUGUAAAACAUGGAAUUCUGAAUACUCUAGACAUUAUUUUCCUUUCAUGAAGAUGUUUGUUUACUUUGGCAGUGAUUCUCUUGGGAGAAAGUCUAAUGACUACCACUACCAAAAAAAAAACCAAAACAAAAAAGAAACAGAAACUGCCACUAGCAAGCAAGAGAAUAUUAGACUAGUGUGCUGGUUAAACUCCAGAGCACAAAGGAGAAAAGACACAAUAGAUCACUGCUUUGCAUUCUUGUGACCAGAACCUAUAUCCUUCAAGUUUCACAGGCUUUCAUGAUGGAAACCAGACUUUGAAUAAAACAAGAAAGCUGCCCAUCUCCCAUACAUUUUAAGAUUUUUAACCUUAAAAACAAACCAACAAAAACAUAACAUGAGGAUGGGAAUAAGAGAACAAAGCAAACUAUUUCAACCUCUGGUAUUAAUUUUCCCCACUGCUUUUAAUUUCAUUUCAAUACACAGAAAGGGUUGAAAACCCUAAGAAAGGGUUUUUUACCCAGUUUUGGUAUAUCUUGGUAAUUAAUUUUUUUUUGAAUGAGAAAAACCACCAGGAGAAAAGGCAAGUUACUAUAACUCAACAGUCUGUUCACUGCUGAAAAAGACUUCCCUACCUCCUUCCUAAGGGUACAUGACUAUUAUUUUUAGAGUUUAAAAAAAUCAAGAACAGAACAGUGAAUGAAGCACGUUGUUAUAAAUCUUCAGACCUCUUUUUCCUGUGAAAUGUCAAACCUCAUCAUCUGCUUUUCUAUAUGAAUAACCUGCAGUCCCAGACUGUUUACCAUGUUUCCAUGGGAGGAAAAUGUCAUUAACAAAAAGUCAGCUUUAGGGUUAAGAGGAAGCAGCUCUAGCAAAAGCAUGUGAAUCGUGUAUUUUUUUACCAGUUAGAACAAUGUGCUGU